rnacentral:rRNA from 1 species
UACGGAGGUGGCAAGCGUUGUUCGGAAUCACUGGGCUUAAAGGGCGCGUAGGCGGUCCGCCAAGUCAGGGGUGAAAUCCUGCAGCUUAACUGUAGAAGUGCCUCUGAUACUGGCGGUCUUGAGGGAAAUAGGGGUGUGCGGAACUUCCAGUGGAGCGGUGAAAUGCGUUGAUAUUGGAAGGAACGCCGGAGGCGAAAGCGGCGCACUGGAUUUCUUCUGACGCUGAGGCGCGAAAGCUAGGGGAGCAAACGGG